rnacentral:rRNA from 1 species
CUCAAGAAGAGAUGCUGUCCCCGUGCACCCACAGGAUCUCAUCUCCACUCCCCGCCCCCCACUCCCACUCCCGCUUCUCCCACCAGCGCGAGUACCGGGGCAGUCCACUCGCCCCUCGUCUCCCUCCUCCUCCUCCUCCUCUCAGGUGCUUCCGGGGGACUCAUCCGCCUGCGGCCGCGGCGGGGGAGGUGGCGACGAUGGCCGCGCCCGUCGGGGAGAUGGUCUGGGUGCCCGUGCUGGAGGAGGGGGUGUUCCGGUUCGACACGUCGGAGGAGGCGCGGUCCGCGGCCGGGCCCAGCCUGUCGUUCGUCGAGCCGCGGCGGCGGGAGGAGCCGCGCGAGGGCGGGGAUCGUCCCGCGGUCGUGCCGGCGUGCGAGGUGGCGGGGAACGUCCAGAAGGUUGUGAUUAAGCUUCCUUCUGGGACGUCUUUCUACGGUACAGGAGAAGCUAGUGGUCCACUUGAACGAACUGGGAAACGAGUUUUCACUUGGAACACAGAUGCAUGGGGUUUUGGGCCAGGGACCACUUCAUUAUAUCAAUCACACCCAUGGGUGUUGGCUGUCCUCCCUGACGGAAAGGCAUUCGGCGUCCUAGCUGACACCACACGACGAUGUGAGAUUGACUUGAGACAAGAAUGUACUAUCAAGUUUUCUGCCCCAUCUGCUUACCCUAUCAUUACUUUUGGACCAUAUAAUUCUCCAGCUGAAGUUAUGAUGUCAUUGUCCCAUGCAAUAGGGACUGUGGCCAUGCCCCCAAAAUGGUCUCUUGGCUAUCAUCAAUGUCGUUGGAGCUAUGAUUCUUCUGAGAAAGUACUCAAGGUUGUCAGAACUUUUAGAGAGAAAGGCAUUCCUUGCGAUGUGAUUUGGAUGGAUAUUGACUAUAUGGAUGGUUUUAGAUGCUUCACAUUUGAUAGUAACCGUUUUCCUGAUCCGAAAUCUAUGGCUGACGAUCUCCAUUCCAUCGGUUGCAAAUCAAUCUGGAUGCUUGAUCCAGGAAUCAAGAAAGAGAAGGGUUACUUUGUAUAUGAGAGUGGUUCAGAAACUGAUGUUUGGAUUAAAAAGGCAGAUGACAGUCCAUUCAUUGGGGAGGUAUGGCCCGGUGAUUGUGUUUUUCCUGAUUUUACCUGUGAAAGAACACGCACCUGGUGGGCUAGUUUGGUCAAGGAUUUUGUCUCCAAUGGCGUUGAUGGAAUAUGGAAUGAUAUGAACGAGCCUGCUGUCUUCAAAACAACUACAAAAACAAUGCCGGAAAGCAAUAUACAUAGAGGCGAUGCAGAUAUUGGUGGUGUCCAGAAUCAUUCUUACUACCAUAAUGUGUAUGGAAUGCUAAUGGCAAGGUCUACAUAUGAAGGAAUGGCGAUGUCUAAUACAGACAAACGACCAUUUGUUCUUACACGAGCUGGUUUUAUAGGAAGCCAGCGUUAUGCUGCAACAUGGACUGGUGAUAAUCUGUCAAACUGGGAGCAUAUGCAUAUGAGUCUGCCAAUGGUUCUUCAAUUGGGUCUUAGUGGCCAGCCACUGUCAGGCCCUGAUAUUGGUGGGUUUGCUGGAAAUGCCACUCCAAAACUUUUUGGGAGAUGGAUGGGAGUUGGUGCAUUGUUUCCAUUUUCACGUGGUCAUUCUGAAACUGGAAGCAUCGACCAUGAGCCAUGGUCCUUCGGUGAAGAGUGCGAGGAAGUUUGUCGUCUUGCGCUGCUAAGACGGUAUCGCCUACUGCCACAUAUCUACACUCUGUUUUACCUUUCACAUAAGAAGGGUGCUCCAGUUGCUGCUCCACUUUUCUUUGCUGACUCACAAGACCCAGAAUUGAGGAAAAUAGAGACUUCCUUUCUCCUGGGACCACUUUUAAUCUGUGCAAGCACUUCACCUGAGAAAGGUGCUCAUGAAUGUGCACAUAAGUUGCCGAAGGGUGUUUGGUCACGUUUUGAUUUUGGAGAUUCACACCCUGAUCUACCGGUGAUGUAUUUACAAGGUGGAGCCAUACUUCCUGUAGGCCUUCCUAUUAAGCAUGUUGGUGAAGCAAGUUUAGAGGAUGAUUUAUCACUAAUUGUUUCGCUGGAUGAAAAUGGUAAAGCUGAAGGUGUCCUAUUCGAAGAUGCUGGGGAUGGAUACGGGUUCACACAGGAGAACUAUCUUUUAACAUAUUAUGUUGCCCAAGUUCACUCAUCAGUGGUUUCUGUGAAAGUUCUGAAAACCGAAGGAUCCUGGAAUAGACCAAAACGUAACUUAAAUAUAAGUAUAUUACUUGGUGGAGGUGCUAUGAUAAGUUCACAUGGUGUCGAUGGCGAAGAACUACAUAUUACGAUGCCUUCGGGGUCUGAAGUGUCCAACUUAGUCGCAACAAGUGAACUUGAGCUCAAGAAACGUUUGGAGAUGAUUUCGCCUAUACCUGAUAUAGAUGAACCGUCAGGACAGGAAGGUGCUGAACUCUCAAAAAUACCUAUUGAUUUGAAGAGUGGGGACUGGUUGCUUAAGGUUGUACCAUGGAUUGGUGGUCGUAUUAUUUCAAUGACACAUCUUCCUACUGAUUCCCAGUGGCUUCAUAGCAGGAUUGAAAUAAAUGGUUAUGAAGAAUACAGCGGGACUGAAUAUAGGUCUGCUGGGUGCACAGAAGAGUACAAAGUCGUUAGGAGGUAUCUUGAGCACUCAGGAGAGGAGGAAUCUAUUUCUUUGGAAGGUGAUAUUGGGGGUGGUCUUGUUCUUCAGCGCCACAUAUCCAUUUUGAAAGACAACCCAAAGAUUGUUCAGAUUAACUCUAGCAUUCAAGCAAGAAGUGUUGGAGCUGGCUCUGGUGGGUUUUCAAGGUUGGUAUGUUUGCGAGUUCAUCCUACUUUCACCCUUCUCCACCCAACUGAGGUGGUUGUUGCUUUUACGGCCAUCAAUGGCUCAAAGCAAGAGUUCUUUCCAGAAUCUGGAGAAGUGACAUUAGAGGGAGACCUCCGGCCAAACGGGGAAUGGAUGCUAGUGGACAAAUGUGCAGGGGUGAGCUUGGUAAAUACUUUUGAUCCCAGUCAGGUUAGCAAAUGCUUGGUACAUUGGGGAACAGGUGAUUUGAACAUGGAGCUUUGGUCGGAGGAAAGACCAGUUUCCAAGGACACGCCGUUGACAAUUUGCCACCAGUACGAGCUGAGGCAAACAUGCUAAAUCUUGCCUUGGGAUUUCCAGGAUGCAUCUUGCUCUGUGCGCCGAAACUCAUUUCUUUGGUGUCUCGGCGUCACCUAGCACCAAUGUGUUUAGAACUACUCCUACUGGACAUCAGUGUCGAACCAAUGUUUUUAAAACUACUGGGCAACAUUGUCGAGGUUGGAACUUUUGGACAAAGUGUGGUCUGGUGCUGAAACCUAAGCUUGUUCAUCGUCAAUAAAGCAUAAUAAAGUAGAGGCUGCGAUCUCACUUGUUUUGCGCUUUUUUUCCCUUCAAUAGCACAGUGGCCCAUUAAAUCAUUUGAGCAUUCCAGCAGUUCUCAAAC